AUUGAACGCUGGCGGCAGGCCUAACACAUGCAAGUCGAGCGAGCGGCGGACGGGUGAGUAAUGCCUAGGAAUCUGCCUGGUAGUGGGGGAUAACUACUGGAAACGGUAGCUAAUACCGCAUACCAUCAGAUGUGCCCAGAUGGGUUUAGCUAGCUGGUGGGGUAAGGGCUCACCUAGGCGACGAUCCCUAGCUGGUCUGAGAGGAUGACCAGCCACACUGGAACUGAGAAACGGUCCAGACUCCUACGGGAGGCAGCAGUGGGGAAGAUUGCACAAUGGGCGCAAGCCUGAUGCAGCCAUGCCGCGUGUGUGAAGAAGGCCUUCGGGUUGUAAAGCACUUUCAGCGGGGAGGCGUUACCCGCAGAAGAAGCACCGGCUAACUCCGUGCCAGCCGCCGCGGUAAUUC
rnacentral:rRNA from 1 species